rnacentral:lncRNA from 1 species
CUGGCAGCAUCAUUUGGAAUAAAUGAAACUACCUUCGACAGGCUUGUGAAUCAACAACGCGAAUCGGUUAUCUUAGAAUGCACCUCCUGCGCAGAGGAAGAAUGGAGGAUAAUGGAGGAAGAGAUUGAGAGGGAAAGAGAGGAGGCAAGGCAGAGGGAAGAGGAGGCAAGGAAGAGGGAUGAAGAGAGGAAAAGACAGGAAGAGGAAGCUGAGACGAGAGAAGAGGAGGAGGCAGCUAGGGAGAGAGCAGAGGAGGAAAGGAAGAAGAGAGAGCAAGAAGAAGAGGAAGAGGCGGCACGGAGAAAGAGAGAGGAAGAGGCAGCACGAGAAAGGAGGGAACAAGAGGAAAGAGAACAAGAAGCAGCACAGAUGGAAGAGAAAGAAAGGGAAGCAGCUAAGCGAGAGGAAGAAGAAGCAGCACAAAGAAGACAAGAAGAAGCUGGCCAGGGAGAAGGAGGGCGCCCACACGAAGGGGGCAGGGAAGCACGGCCGCCGGAGGAAGACGGAAGAGGAGGAGUAGGAGCCAGGCAGGAGGAGGAAACUGCAAAGCAACAAGAAAAAGAAAUGGGACAAGAGGAGGAGCAGGGCAAUGGCCAAGGAUGGGGAAGAAGAAUCCUUAAAAAUGCUUCUUGACUGUGUCUAGUAAUGCUCAAAAGUAGACGUUUCCAGUGAGCAUAAAGCUGAAUAAGCAGUUUUGUUUCAGUCUUUGCUUUAUUUUGUGUUUGCUUGUGAAAUACCUUCAGUUGAGAGCUCCAUUAGCGCAUGGUGAAGUCCUUUAAAAGCCAGCUUAUUGAAUUCCUACGAAUGAAUGACUCCAAUUAAUUCCUGCGAUUGAUCUAUCUUAGAACUGCUUGAGCAAGAGCCAAAACUCAGCCAGGUUUUCUCACAUCAUGGACAGGAAUCCUAAACUCGAGCAAUAAAGGAGUUUUCCAUACCUACUUUUCUUACUUUUUGAUGGAUUGCAAGAGAGGAAUAUGUCUCACAAUGAACAAUGGACGACGUAAACGGGUCCUCAAAUAGCCCAAAAAGAUGAAAAAAAAAAAAAAGGACAACGCUUGAAUACCCCCACAGAAAGCAUUUUCAAGCUACAAUAGCACGCAGAAAUGAUUUUGUAAACAUUCUCAGACUAUUAAUACUCAAUUAGAUAUCAGGGACGACCUCUGGGUUCAACGGCAGCUCAAAAAGCUAGGAAACUACUAUCCAUAUCUUACAACUGUAACGGAACACCUUCAUACGUAUCAAAUUUAGUAUCAAAUUUGCAAAAGAAGAGGGAGAAAGGGGGUGAGGAAAUCUGGAAAAUCUCGAAAGCUUUGUAAAGAGAAUAAACACCACGUAUUCAAAGGCCAGAAUGAGGAAAGGACUGUAUAAAGUCAAAUGUAAGAAUUGUAAAAUCUAUGUUUCAGUCGAGCCUGACAAGUCAGAGACAUACGAAACAACCACCGUAAUGUCAUCAAGUUUUCCACCAUAAUAAGAGAAUCCAAUCUCUUGUGCUGCAGUAGAAAAUGGAGUUUGCCUUUCCCUGUCCUGCGCUCGGUGGCGCGCCAAAGCUGCAACUUUUUGUGCUGUCAACUCAGGGGUGAAACCCGAUGUCACUGCUGCACCAACAAUUGUAGUUAUUUCACGUUUAUACAAGUUAUCAAAUAGCCCAUCUGUUCCGGCAACAAUGACAUCUCCCGGUAAAACUGAAAUCUUGAAAACCUGGCCAAAAUAUUUAAAUCUCAUUUAGGAGGACUCCUGUCGGUGAAACACUAUUAGCGUGAACAAUUGAGAUGAUAUUCUUCUCGAGACAUUCUUGAUUAUAAAAGCACCAUGUAUACAAAUUCACUUGCACAAAAGAUCAGUAAGGAGUGUUCCACUAAAUUACCUGACCGGAACUUGGAAGGUCACCCUUAUUUCCUCUUUCCAGUUGAUAGGGAAAAUUGAAUCCAUGCUGCUGGACUGGAGACUCAAAGGUGGUGCUGCCAUCUCUGACCACAAUAAAUCCACUGUCUCCAAGAUUUAUGGCAUGCAGAAACUGUGGAAGAGAACAAAUAUGCACAGAUGACCAUCAGAGGCAUCAAAACUCUUCUCAAGUUCAAAGAGGGAAAAAAUUUGAAGUCUAUGCAACCUCCAGUACAACAAACUAGUGUCUUAAAGAAUCAUUGGCUUUUUCAUGAUCGCUUUAGGCUGUAAUGUGACAGCCAAACCAAUCCAAUAUGCAAGAGUAGGUCUGAAGAAUUGAACAAACACUAAUCUACCAAAAGGCAUCCAAAGAAAGAAUGAAGAAAAUCAGGAGAUUAAGUGUAGUUAGGCAAACUAAUGGCACAGUGUUCUUUCACUUUUACUCAAGUACAAUAGCAUAACCUUCGCCUUUACAGUUAUUUUCUGCAACCUCCAAUAUUCUAGUGGUCCUCAGAGAGAAUCUCCUUUCUACUCAGAUAUGAGGUUUGGUCUCUUGCAGCAAAAAGUACCAGUGCCAAACCGUCAUCGCCUCCAUCUUAUAGGAAAGAUAAAACAGAAUUUCCCAUCUUUGCCUCCUCUAUGUGCAUGGCUCUGUGCAUGUCUUUUACAAAUAUAACACGAGUCGUCAUCCAUAAACACCACAUAAAUGUACUUCACGGUUUUACGCUUUCUACACUUAGAACAGGAAAAAAAAACACACCAAGAAUGACAUAUUCUGCCUAAAUUUGCCAAAACAUCAGGAUAAUUCCCCUCUAAUGAACCCCAACAAAUACAUUCAUCUACAAAUCACCAAUCAAAAGUGGUCACAUCCAAGUUGAAAAUGUUACUACAGCCAUUUUGUUGCAUGCAAGUUGGAGCAAUAUUUUCAAAAGACGUAGUACAAGAAGAAUAUGUGUGCAUGGACAAAUAUUUUUGGUAUGAAGUUAGUAAGACCUGGUCUUUUAGCACAAUGAUGCAGGCUGUUGAGGAACCCACAGCAUUUGUUUCCGAGUGUGCUUUCUCCAAUACGCGAGCGGGAUCAAUAAACUCCCCGGGCUCAUUUUUAAUAGCAUCCAUCGAGUUAGACAUGAGUUCACAAGCAUAUUCUCCAGCAUUAAUCCCAACCUCCGCCCAACCACCAACUCCAUCUGCCACACCAAUUGCUUGCUCAUCCGAACAGAUGAAAUGAGCAUCCUCUCCACCUGUUUUUUCUUUAUCAGGAUGGGGUAGGUAGCAUGAUCCAGAGUGUAGCUUCAGUGUUCUGUUGCUUAGAGAUCUUCUGGAUUCAGCAGUAGUAGCCAACCAACAUUAAGGAAAAUCACAAUACUAUAUCGCCAAACUUAUUAAUGCUCAAUGCGACUCCCACAAACAUAGAACUGUGCAUCUCUAAUAAACUUAAAUUGAAAAACCCAUUCAGUAGAAAAUUGAAGCAGGAAAUGAUCAUCUUUGACGCAACGACUCACUGCUAAGAUUUAUUUACCUAGUAAGUAAAAAGACAAAAUUCAAGCAAUACCUUGUUUUGAUUAAAAAACGUAAAUAUUUGAUACUCAAACCAGAAUAACGAAUCUCUACAAUAGCCACAAUAUGUGAAUAUGCAAAUCUUUGACUUUUCAACACCAUGACGAAAGACAAUGUUCUUUAGCAAUCAGAGAGAAAGUUUCCCUUUAAAACACGCUAAAAAUCAGAAACCAUACAAAAGAGGAGAAAAAUCCAUUCCAUUUUGAGAAACGAUGGACACCCAAGUUCGACAACUAUGUCUUUUCACAAGUCACCACUUUCAUCGUCCUUGAAUUUCCAUGAGUUAUAUGAGUUGGAAGAAGCAUAAAUAUAAAAAAUCCUGUAAACACUGAGUCGAGGAUCACAUUAUUUUUUUAUUAAGUUCCGGCUUGCUGACAAGCUAAGCUCAACUAAAGAAUUCUCUGUCUGACAGACAAACUGCUAAUGUUGAAGGGUCACCAAAUACGAUCUUGACUGUUGGAAUAUAGGACCUGGAUUAUUGUUGAAUAUCCAAACUAAUUUUAAGGUCAAUACAUCGGGACCAUACACGACUGGCCAUCUGGUUUUAUUUAAUACAACACCUUGGCUAAAUUUGAAGUUAAAUGAACGCACCAAAAAAUCUUCAGGGAACAACUACCUUCUGGAUUAACAAAUGUAUUUAACUAUAAUCAAUUUUGAACCAUUGCACAUAAUAAAGAAACUGCAUACAAGAAAAUUUUUUUGUUUCUAAAUUAACAAAUAGAUGGAAACAACUUGAUAAGACAACACAAAAGGUUAGAGCAUUUACUGGUCUGGUGGUAUGGCAAGACUUGAUAGCUGUUCGUCGAAUGAGGUUCCGUUGCAGAGUACAUCAGAUGCAGCCCCAGUCGAACAACAUGGUGAUGAUGAGGAACUGCAGCUUCUAAACCACGACCCAACAAGGGCAUUCGAGCUGCGACAUUUCCAUCUACCUCCAAGCACAGAAAAAGCACGAUCAGUGCAGCGGCUAUUGGUUACCCCAUUUCUCAAACUCAGACUAGCUUUUUGACAAUUAUCGAGACCUCUAUUGCCAAAAUACAUCACAACAGGUUUAGCAAAACUCGAAACAUUCCCACAACCAGAGAUAAAAGUAUCCAUAACAAGGUCUCCAGGGGCAGCCGUUGAACUAGAAACAGCCAUGGCUCCACUAAAAUUCCCAAAAGCUUGAGAAGACGGGCGCGAUAGAACACCACCACCACCACGUGUCUGAGAAAAUGCCUCAACGGCAGAAUGCUUGGUUCUACUGUAAGUAUAACAAGCCCCAAAUUUCUGACUUCUUUUUACUGUCAAAGAUUCUAUUAACUUGUGGGUUGGUGCUAGUUUCACUCUUAAACCUCUCUGAACCCCAAAACAAAAGGCAGAAUUCGGUUUGGGAAGCAACCCUGAUGACAUAUCCUAUUCCCCCUCAGCUCAACCCAAUUCGUCCAUUAGAUGAACUCCAAACUUAGCAAGUCUGCAUUGUGAGCCAAUCCCCUUUAAUCCUGAGAAACUUCACAUCCUACUCAACGAUAACUUUGCCUGCCCAAGCAGCAAUUUCCUGCUACCUGAUUACAAAAACAAUUGCAUUAUAAAAAGAUUCAUUCGUUUUUCCUUUUCUUCUACUUUCGCAAGAUGAAAAGAAAGAUACAAGGGAAAAAGGAAGGCAUGGGGAACCCGGGAUUUCGGCAAUUCGGGCUUGACUAGGGGCGGAUCGAGAAUGCUGUCUGGGGACAAAAUUAUCGUUGGAGAGAAGAACAGCCGAAGUCCACCGCUUAAUGGGGGCUAAUAUCGCAGUCAGUCUCAAAUUUCUAAGUUUGACGCCCACCAGCCCAAAAAACUGAAAAACGGACAAAAACGAAGCGGUGGCUCAGAAUGAAGCGGAAAUUGGCGUUUGGAUUUAUAUUGGUGAGUUUUUUGGGAAAUAUUAGUGUAGCGUGUACGUAAGAUAAAAAAAAAAAGUAAUUAAAAAAUAGGUAUAUAAAAAUAUUUACAAAAAAUCACAAUCCAAAUAAGGCGUAGUUUUUUAGUCCCUUUUUAAUAAGAAAUCAUGUCAAUUUUGUCCUAUCAAGUUUUAUUUUGAUUAAUGUAUCACAGCAUAGUUUAUAACACUGGAAGAAGAUGACCUUUUAACACUUUGACACUCAUAAAAAUUGAUAGUAAUUUUUGAAAAAAAAAAAAAGAAUUAAGAGGCAGUGUGUGAAUUGUCUAAAAUACAGCAAGUAUAUUAUUAUAGGGACCAGGGAGAGCGCAAAAUUGGAACUAGAGAUGUUAGUGAGCCGAGCUACUCGCGAGUAGCUCGCGAGUAGCUCGGUCAACAACUCGACUCGAACUCGAGUUGUUUCGAGUAGCUCGACUCCACAUCGAGUCGAGUUUCGAGUCUCAUUUUUCGGGCUCGUGGCUCGUCGAGUAGCUCGACGAGCCGCGUUAAAUAUUUAUAAUUUAAAUAAUAUAUAUUUAUUAUAAUUAUAAAAUGACUAUUAUGGAUAUAGAUUUUAUAGAAUUUACAAUAUACCCUUCUUUAUAAUAAAAUCCUAUAAUGGCAAAAAAAUAAUAACAUAAUUAUAAAAAACACUAAAAAGAAAAAAUGUCUACAAAAAAAAGGAAGAAAAGACUUUCUUCCUUCUCUGUGCGACUUUCUUCUCCGUUCGAAGAAAGCCUAGCAAAAAAAUUCACUUUACCAGCCGGCAGCCACUGACUCUGACUGAUUUAGAUCUACACCCUCACUCCGUUCGUCGCCGACGCCGUUGCUCGCCGCAUCUGUGAGACUCCAUCUCCAUCGCCAUCGCCAUCGCCAUCGCCAUCGCCUUAACAAGUCCCAAGUCCCAAGUCCGAAAUCGAAGCUGCUCUCUGCCUCUCCGGCCUCCGCCAGUCCGCCGCGCUCUACGUCUCCUGUCGGCUGUGUCCUGCCGUGCUGGUUCAUCGCUGCCGAGUGUCGAAGACGAAGCACCAAGAUCUCACUAGUUCAUCGCUGGUUCAUCACUGCUCAUCUCUGGCUCACUUAGGUAAGUGCUCCUCUGUUUUUGGCUCUGUGUCUCUGGCAUUAAAAUGGGCCAAGAUCGACUAGGAAACUUGUUAUCCUGAAUUGAUAAGGGGACGAAAUCUCUCAGAGACCCAGAGAUUUCAAUCCAUCUGCCAUUAUCCUAUUACUCUCGGCCAAAAAAAAUAAAAAAAUAAAAAAAAGAACCGACGGGAAACAGAGGAGGAGCAGCCGCCACUGCUGGGUCGUCGGAGUUUGCCCAUACCGCCACGGUUAUCCAAUUCUUCAUUUAAAACGCCCCGUGAGCUAUUCUUUGCUUUCCAACUUGAAUUUCAAUUUGAUAUUUUCUGGAACCAUCUUUUGCUAGUUUCUUCUUGAAUUUUUUUAAUCUGGAGUUAUUUACAAUUUUCAUGGCUGAGUAUACUCUUUGGCCUUUGUUGGACCGAAAUCGUAUUUUGAUUACAAGUUUUGGGUCUUUCUUUCGUUGGAAUUUGAUGGGAUCUUUAGAAUUUUCGUAUGCCCUUCUACUGUUUGAAGAAAUGCCUAAACGAGAACUUGAAAUAAAGAGACAAAUCUCUUGUAUCUGUGCUCGUGGGGAGCAGCUCCUAUCAGUCCAACGCUGAUAGGAGCCCGUGGGUUCGGCGGAAAUCCAUCAAAGACCCAGAGAUUUGCUAGUAAUAGUAUACGUCAUAUGAGGCAUCUGCGGAUUUCUAAGUAUUUCAAUUCUGUGGGCGCUCAAGAAGCGCCAAAUACCUGAUGCAGAUUUAGGAAUCGUGCAAUAUUUAUGUAAAUAAUUUUAAUUUGUGCUCUUAAAAAAAUCAGACUUAGGAUAAUGGUGUGCAAAAAUAUAGCUAAGACUGACUUCAAAAUCCUUUGUGUUAUGAUUUGACCAACUAGGUGUGAUGAAUUUGCCCAAAUUCGGAUUUGAGCAACCUCACAUGCUUGUUUGAGAUAAUUGUUUGUCUCUCAAUUUGGUGGCUCAGCUCAUGUUUUGCUGAGUUUUGAAAUUUUGUGGGGAAUUUUGGUUAGUUUGGGUACUUUUGCAGCACACUUAGGAACUAUGAUUCGAGGAAUUAGAAUCAUCCAUAUUUUCUGCUCUUGUGGGCACCUACCGUUGGUGGGUAAUUGCUGAAUUUGAAAGUUUCAUGUCAAGCAAUCCAGCAAGUGGGAAUUUCCCUUUUUUCUUCUCUAUUCUUCUUUGUGGUGAAUCUGAUUUUUAGGGGUGUUAAAGAUGCUAACUGUGGGAGGUAGAAUGUGGAUACUUUUGGUUGUAUUUGUAUUGAUGAAUCAUGGAUUUUAUGCCUCAUUUACUCCAGCUGAUAGCUACUUGCUUGCCUUUGAAUCUUCCCAAAACGUCACCUUUGAUCUGGUUUUUUGGUCAAAUCGAGUCAAAAAGCUUGAUAAGACUCGACUUGAUAAGGCUCGAUUAAAGAUCGAGCCUUAUCGAGUCGAGUCUCGAGCCUAAAUGAAAUUCUUCGAGUCGAUCUUCGAGUAUCGAUUUUCGGGCUCGAUCGAGCUCGAGUCGAGCUCGAGCUUCUGUGUGUAUGAGUCGAGUCGAGCUCGAGUAUAGCGAUACUCGAGCUCGACUUGACUCGAUUACAUCCCUAAUUGGAACACAAACGUGCAUUAUUAAUCCCCUGCUUGCAAAAUUGUCUUUUUGUUGUUCAUCCACAAUUCCCGACUUUUGUGUCCCCCAACCCAACUUUUGGACGACAUUAGGGGCUUAUUUGUGCAUGCAAAACUCGUGCACCAAGAUGCUAUCACUGUGCAAUAUAACAACAGGCCCUGUGACCUGUAACGCAAUUCCAAUUGUUUGAUCCUGCACCAGCGUGAUUGUGUGUUUUAACAGUAGUGCCGUUUGUAUUGUGAUUUUUAAAAAUUUUUAUAAAGAAAAAUAUUGUAACGAUUGGAUUUAAUAUAUAUGACUUAAAAUAAUAAUUAAAAAAUAUUAUAUAUAUAUAUAUUUUUUUUUUCUGUAAAAAAUCACAAUUCAAGCAAGGGCGCUUGACGUUUACAGUAAAACGUAAAAGUUUUACCGUGGAUGUACGAGAUAAAUGUUUUUUACACGCCACGUCGUGUUAGAAGCACGAAGAAGCGGAGGCUUUGGCUUGCCAUGAAUUGUUCGCAUGGAGUAGAGUAGAGUGGGUGACACGUUCCCUAUACUAUAGAGGCCGUGCUACUUGGCACGGAAUUCUGGAAUAAGUACAAAAGUUAAACCCCACUUUACUGCUCUGUGAAGGCCAAUAAUGUCUCUCACUCAUCCUGAUUACUCCUUUUACUCAAUCCGUCUGCUCUGCACAAAAACAACCACAAAAUUACCAUAUUUGUUUUAAUCAGGGCCCCCAUUUCUAUUUCACCGUUCCUAGCUAGAGCGGUUAAUCGAACCGAAUAGCUCGCGAGCCAAGUUCGAUCCGAUUCGAUAAGGGGUUCAACUCAGUUAGUUUAAUGAGAGAAAGGAGCCGAUCUCGAAUUCAACUUUACGCUUAUUUAAUAGAUGAGCCGAGUUAUGCUCGACUCGUUUAGGCUCGAAUGGUAAGAUCAUUUCAUUGUGUAUUUGAUAUUUUUACCUAAUUCAUUCUCUCAUUUCUAGUCCUACUUUUUUCUUUCCUCUUUCGGUCUUGCCCCUAAUAUUCAUCUCCCAAACGAGCUUGAGCUUAAUAAACUCGGCUCGAUUUUGAACUCGAGUUCGACUCGUUUGAACUUAAUAAACUCGGCUCAAUUUUAAAUUCGAGUUCGAGGUCGAACUCGAGUUUUCGAUCGAGUAUACCGAGUCGAUCUCGAACAGCUUGUGAAACUUGAAUUACUAAUCGAGCAAACUCGAACUAGCUCAAUUAGAGAUUCGAGUCAAACUCGAUUAUCGUGUGCUCGAAUUUGACUCGAUUAACAGCUCUACUCCUAGCUAUCUCUUACGUUUUUUUUUUUUUUACACCCGAUCCACAAGAAGACUAUAUAGUGUUGAGUCAAAAUAGUUAUCCGUCCUACAAAUGAGAUACUAGUUCAAGCUUGGAGUGCAGAAGCAAUUUCUUAUUCGUAGUCUCUAGCAAGUAAUGGAAAUAUGUUGAUGCUUCCACCCCCAAUGUACAAAAAUAAUUACUCCCCGGUUUUCUGGUUGAACCGUGUAGAAGAAAAAAUUAUUGGAGCUCAUGGGUAUGAUGUCAUAAAUAAACCAGUAGUAAUUAAUCUAAUCUGAUCUUGGAUUAUCAGUAACCGUACCGAAUACUGGACUAUUCACCAACAUUGUGGCCGAUUGCUUUUACUCCUAUCUUCUACUAUUAUACUCACAAAAGUGCCACCAUUUUAACAUCAUCUUACAUAUAUAAUCAAAAGUGUUUAAAAGGUCUCAGGACCUUUGGCUACUUAUAUUUCACGGAAAGGGUCUCUUCAACCUUGACAGGCAGCAGAACAAAUAUUAAAACCGACUCACUCUCACUGCCUAUACUGUAAUGCUUAAUUUUUUAAGGAGCAUCGCCGGGCCAAGAGUCGCUAUUUGCUGCUGCAAGACUAAUUGAUAAUAAAGCUCGAUGCCACCUCACAAAUCACACUUCCGAAAUGUCAACUAUGAAAGCCUUGACUUUCAUGAAAACAAAUGUUCUAAUUGUUGUCAUGAUCCCCUUCCCAUAUCUUUACCAGAGUACUCGCCGCUGCCACCAAAUGUUGCCGCUGCAGCAGCAGCAACAUCAAGGCCGCCACCAAUUGAUGUCAUUAAGGCAGAAAAUCCGCCUGAUGGGCCUCCACCAGCUGCCAUCCCCAAUCCAAGAAGGUCAAGGGUAGUAUGCUUGGGACCGAAUACAGAUGGAGUCCCCAACAUCAGUUCCUUCAAGCUAGACCCACCGUCACAUGGCAGCCCAAGUCCCAGGCCUGCUGCCAAUGAUGCACUAUCAGACUCAAUUCCCCUCCCACUCCACUCCUGCUGCCCGCUGGAAGCUGACGCCGAAGAAACAAUCCCGAACCCUCUCAGGAGUGAAGCAUUAGUUGCUGCUGCUCCAAUCUGAGCAGCUUUUUGCAGUAAUGCUGUUGCAGACAUGGCAGGUUGUGGUGCAGGCGCAUACUGCCUACGCUCUUGCCCUGCUGUUCCAAAAAUUGAUGAACCGUGACUUGUAGCAAGACAGAGGGAUAUGGGUUCCGUGGAAGAAGACGCUACGACUUCAGAUGCAUUCUCAGGACGAGCCACAGCUCUAAACAAGUCAGUAAAUUCAGGUGUUUGAGAUUGCAAGCUUGCCGAUGUUGUUGAUGAGGCAAAUAAGCUUGCAAACACGCUGCUGCUAGUACUUCCAUGACUGCUUGAGCUGCUGCUGCUACCACAGCUGCCGGUUAAGCUGGUCACAACAGAUGUUUCCUCUAGAAUCUGAGGUGGAGCGGGACUUUGCUUGGGAUUUUCAGGUCCCUCUGUUGAAUUAAACAAAUCAUAUAAAAAGAAUGAGCGAAAAAAAAAAAAGAGCAUUCCCUGGUAAAGAAGCAAGAAAUGACGAAAGUAUAACCUUUCUUAUUAAAGAGCUUUGUAUAUGAUUAAAAGAGAUUCAAUAAUACCCUCCUUUCUCGGCAUCAACUUAACUUUUAGCUUUUGGCUGGAUCUCUGUCCAUUCUUUACCAAAAGAUUGCUUAGAUUCAAUCUCAAUUUUUUAUUCAUAGUUGAGAUAUGGUUUUCCCCAAUUGAAGUUAGUAGUAGUUCAUCCUUGUUCUUAUAGCAAGGGAGUAAAUCUAGUCAACCAUAGAUGCAGAUAACAACAAAGAAGGGGAACAGACAAAAACAACUAGACUCCAAGAUUAAUAGACAAAGAAACAACAACAACAGUUUGCUUUUCUUUUCUUUUUUCCCGGCAAAAGUAUGAUAUACAUCCGACAAAACCCGGACUACAGAGCUACAUAACUACCCAUCAUCAGCAGUAGGUGGAGGAGGCUGAGCUACAAAUUGGCAGUUUCGAGCAGAAAUACCUGGAUUUUGAACAGGCAAAGCUGAAGAUACUAAAGCAGCUGGUGGAGGAGGCUGAACUGCUACCGAAGGUGGUGGUGAUGAGGAUGCAAGUGUUUGAAGCUUCGGCUCCUCAUCAUCAGCAGUAGGAGCUGGAAGUGCCUCAACUGUCUGUGCUUUUGCACUCUCCUCAGCUAAUGCAUCACAAAAAGCUCUGUGUGUAAUAAAGCUAUCCCUCCUGCAAUCAUCAAACAGACAUUAACAUCAUUCUUGAAAAUAAAAAGAAAAACAGAGGGAAAAAUUUAUCUUAACAAGGUAGGGAAAAGAUCAGUUAACCUUGAAAACAGAGUCCCACAAUCACAUUUAUAUUCUCUAGUUCCACAAAUCUUUGAAUGAGCUUUCCAAUCAGACUGAACAGCAUAUUUCUUCGAACACUUGUCGCAUUUCCACUUCUUUUCGCCAUGUUUUCUGCAGAAAUGCUUCUUAAUUCCGGUCAAAUCGCCCAAUGCUCGAGAAGGAUCGUGGUGAACACAGGUGAGUUCAGGGCAUACAUAAACUCUCUUCUUGACCUCUUUGCUCGAUCUCUGCCUAAGUUUCCAAGGCAAAUUAUGUCCUCUCCGAUGCAGCUGCAAAUUCUGGUCCCUUUGGAACCCUUUAUUGCAAAUUUCGCACACAAAUCUAUUUGUUGCCAACAGAGUCUUUGGUGACAAAGCAAUCACCUCUGCAUCCGGAUCUAAGAGAAAAACAAAAUGAAACUUCAGCAAUAAGCAAAAACAGAUUACCAGUCUUUUUAUGUUUUCCUUUCUGGCUCUUUUACCUGGCAUGCCUGGGAGAUUUCGUUUUUUCUUGGCAGAUGAUGUAGGAGGGGCUGCCGCUUGAUUGCCUGAAGAAGAAGCACUGGCAUCACCGGAAGCGGUAGAAUCAUUCAUGACAGAAGAGUUAUCCAUAUCGGCAGGCAUGGAAAGAGUACUGGAGUUGUUAAAAGGGAUUUUUAGACUGCUAGAAAGGGAAAUUUUGGGGCAUUUAUGCUGCAAAAAAACUUUUAGGAUAUAAAGCUCCUUUUUCGUUUCUACGGCUUAUGGUCACAGCACUCAGCUCUCAGACUUGUGUAUCUAUCCACCAGUCAAUCUAAUUUAAAAAAAAAAAAAUAUAUCGCCAACUACCAACUACGAUCAACUUUUGACCACGACCAGAUCAGAAAUGAGCUAAUUAGCAAAUCCCACUUCACAGAACCACCACCUGUAAGCUCUGCAGAUAACGGAAUCAGAGUCGCCAGAGAAUUAUCGCCGGUGAGCACGACAUGAGUAUCUUCAGCUAAAAGAAGAUGAAAUUUUGCUAUACUUCAUGAGGUUUCUAGAACAUGGACCUUAAAUCUAGGUAGCUGUUCACCUGUCUAAUAACCAGAAAACAUUUCAGCACCGAGCUUCUUGAAUUUCCGGUGACGUUUUCUCCGAUGCAAAUGCCGGAAAUUGGGCUGGGGAGCAGUACUUUCAAGAAGACGGCUCAGAAAACUAGAUGAAAGAGGAAAUUUAGGAGGGCAGAGAGAGAGAGAGAAGAAGAUGUGAAAGUCUUCUUGUGUUUGGUCUACAGUCGUGUAAUGUUUAGAUCAUAGAACAGGUAGCCGAUGUGGAUUUGAUUAAAGAAGAGCUAAUAAAUUAAUUAGAAAUCAUCAACAGUAAAUGGGGAGAAGGGCGAAAGAUAAUGACGGGUUAAGUUUUGUGGCUCACUUUUUAACCACGGUUUCAUUGUUGACCUGACCAUACGGUGUGGUAGAGUUUCAGUUAAAAACAGAAGAGUUUAAUGAUGGUGCAGAGUGCAGACUGCAACUCUGCUAGUGCUGCUCAAAAUGUUUUCGACGUGGGAUUGGGACACGUACGUUUAGCUUUCGAUAAAAAUUAGUGAUUAUUGUAGUGUUUUUUCAGAAAAAAAAAAAGAAAGCUAUAAUAAUAUAUUUCAGAAAUAUUUUAUUAGUGUAGUUUACAGAAAUAAUAAUAAUUAUAUUAGUGUAUAUUAAAUUAUGCAAAAACGUAUGGUAACCUUACAGUCAACCGCACCGAAACUUCAACCGCAUGUGUCUAGACCCUUUUGAUUUUUCUUGCCAUGGCCUUUACAAUUUUGACUUUCAAUUAUAAAUUUCUGCACAAUUUUAUUUUGUGAUAUAUAUAAUUUGUAUUAAAUUUUUAAAAUAAAUUUUGGUAAUUGUUUGUUUCAAUUAGGCUUUACGGUGUAUAUUCAAAGACUCUCGUUUAUUUAUUAAAAUUUAUUUACUUACAACAUCAAUACGUUUCUCAAUCAUUUUUUUUUAUCAAUGCAUUUUUUUAUGUACGAUGAAUAUAAAUGCAUUGUGGUCUCUAAGUUGUAGAGCGAGCAAAAGGGUUUUAUGCAGUAGCAAUUAUGUGCAAUUUGCACCGUUGAGUGCAACCUAUUGUUGAUUAAGAAAUCAGGACAUGUGUCAUAAGUAAUCAUCCCAUCCUCUUACUGAUUUAUGCCCUGCGUCCAGUCUCCAUUUCACACAUCCCCUGUAGCACCAAACGAACACAUGAACCUGGCUCUCUAAUUCCAUCUCGUAAUAAGUACUAAUAAGUUGCUUUAUUAAGACUAAUCGUCUAAUCAUCAUUCACCCUGGAGGUUUUUUUCCCGGUGAAAAAUGCCUUAUCCCACAAGAAAAGCAUCGAUAUCAUUGUUAGACUUUUGAUGAGUGAGACCGUCUUUCAUUCUUUUGCUGCUCAUAUUCUCUCCGUCAAUGCCAAGCUCUUCUAUCUAUAGUGAUAACAUCACGUUCUUUUCUUUAUAUUCUCUCUUCUUCUUUGUUUUUUUUGGUCCUUUAUUUUUCUUUUCCAUGACUUGCACAAGAGAAAAACCGAGCGGGAGAUGGAAUAGGCUGUGGGAAUCAAAUACCGGUUUGGAGAUCAGAGAAAUAAAACUCUCGCCCAUUGGGCAAUGCGUAGUUCUCUACUAUUUGUGAAUUUACCUGAGCAACGAAUACAAUUCACAAGAAGCAAGAUUAUGAAUUUAGCUGAAAUGAUGCACAAACAGGCCGCCCGCAUAUUUCAUGAAUUAUAGCUAAGCAUAAUCAUCACGUCAUGUUUGAUAGAGAAGAGUUAUUUCACUCAACUUACAAAAACAGAGAUUUUGUCGGAGAGAGAUUGACCAGUUUUUCGUGUUUACUAAACAGAAAACUAAUAAUACUCCUAGCAGAGAUGAAAAGCAAAGGCUAUACAUAGUCUGUCAAUCGAACCUAAUGAGCCGGGCUUUUAUAAACUCUAAGCUCAGCUCAUUUUAUUUGAAAUAUUUUCGAGUUUUCGGUUCAUAAAUGUGAAAUUCAUACUCAACUCGCAUAAUAUUCGGAUUGUGAGUCUUAAUCGGGUUUAGUCAAACCUCACUUAUUACUCCUUAAUUUUCUUAAUAUAAUUACUAUAACUAUUAAAUUGUAAAACUAAUUUAACAUUUACAAGACUAUAAUAUUAAAACUAAACAUGAACAAAUAAUAAUAUUUCUUAAAAAGUGUAUAAACCAAAUUUUUCAACAAUAUUUAUAUUUAAUUCGUUCAGAAUGCAUGAAAAAUAGUAAUUAAACAAUCAAUCAUAAGUCAAUACAUAUUUAAAAGUUGAAACUUUUUUUAUAAUCUUGUGAUUUAAAUCCAAAUAUGCUUGAUGAUUUGUGUUUGUAGACCAAAAAGAAAUCAACCAAUAUUAUGUCAACACAAAAAUUUACUCAAACCAAUAAGAAAAGUUAGAGAUUUAGUUAUGCAUUACUAAUAUUGGUUCUUAAGAAAGCUCCUGGAAGAGUUUUUAGAUUUAUUUUUGUGUUUUGUAAUUUAUAUAUAUUUAGUAUUUAGUAAUAAUAUAUUUGAAUAUAUAAUUAUACAUAAUAUUAAAAUAUAAAUAUUAUAUAUAUAUAGGUAAUUAAAGGGACGGGCCUAUAUCGGGUUUGAACCUAAUAUAGCACAAACUUGGCUCAUAUUUAAUUCGGACCUAAUUUUUUAGGCUCAAGCUCAGACUAAUUCACUAAAAUGUCGGGUUCAUCGGGUUUUUUGUUGGGCCAAAUUCGAGUUGACCCAACCCCAUUAAAACAGUCCUAGCUAUACACUUUUAACAGAAGUGUUUUUUGAGUUGAGAAUCGAAAAUAGAUCUAACGAAGUUCAAUUAAGAAACAUUAGGGUCCAAUUAUUGUUUGGAUAUUGGUUUUUCCCAUAAAAUUGUUUACCUUUUUUGUGAAUACAUCUCUCAAUCACUUUUUUAUUUUACAUAUAUCAAAUUAUUGCAAUACAAUUUUUUUAAAAAAUUAUAAAAAUAGCAAUCCAAACGGGAGGGCGGCCCCAUAGUUUUAGUACAAUUAUCAAUUAUACUAAAGUACACUUUCAAUAAUUAUGCCAAAAGAUAGUAAAAAAUAUAUGUAUAGUGAUCUUUUUGUUCCUUUACUUAUUGUUCUUAAUAAAAGAAUUGAAAUCAUUGUCAAAAAAGAUGAGGGACGAUCAUAUAAAUUUGAGUGACCUAACACUCUAGUUCAAUUAAAAUUUAACUAAGCAUACUCUUAGUAGUGCUAAUGGUAUCAUAUACCACGUUUUGAUACUUUACCUGUAAGUCUUUCUUGCCUUCAUUCAGCUACCUGGGCUAAAACAUCGUCUAGCUAAUAUCGACCGGGUCUUUGCGUUCACAUCACUAGCAUUGCUUGAUGCAACUGGUAGCUAAGUUCCAUCGAUUUGAAUCGGACCGUGACCGACCUUAUCCUUUUCUUGUCGGGCAAAAAGAUGUUGAAAAUAACGCCAGAGGAAUCGUACCUUAUUUGUGCUACUUUGUUUAGCAUUUAGGAAAAAUAGGUUAAAAUGUUUUCCACAUUUCACCAAUUAAAUUUUUUUACGUAUCCUACAAAAUCAAGUUGAUAAAAUGUAAUUACAACUUAAAUUUCGACUACUUUUUUAUCACCAAAUCCAUCAUGUGACUCACACAACAUAUGGUCUUAUUGUUUUAGGAAUAACAAAAGGUUAGAUCCUAUUUGUAGUUAAACAAAUGAUUUGAUUCAUAUUCAUUUUUAUUUCUAAAAAAAUUAGGAUCCAACAUGGAUCAUAUUCAUUUUUUCCCUAAAAAAGGGAUGUGAUUCAAUCCAUAUUGACUUUUGCCAUUAAAAAAAAGUAGGAUGUUAUCACAUUGUAUAUAAAAAAAUAACUGCAUGUAGGUCGCAUGAUGAUUUUAGACUAAAAAGUGAUAAAAAAAACUUAGGUUGGGAUCUAAUUUUGCUAACUUGAAUUCGUAAGAGACGUAAAGUUAAUAUUUUAAAUGUAAAGAAUGAAAAAAUUAAUGUAAUAAAAUAUAAGGGAUGUUUUGAAUAAAUUUUCCUAGCAUUUUCUUAUACUAAAUUUGCUUCAUCAAACCAAAAUAAGCUAGAAUUAGAGAAAUGAAGACCAACGACUGUGUAUAAAGAUGUGGCUCAAAAAAAAAAGGGAAGAGCUUGCUGCUUGUCAUCCGGAAAUAAGUUAGGUAUAAUUUUGCCGAGUUUAUUUUUGGAUUUUUGCUGUCAUUUCCACCUGAAAUCCCUACCACCAACUAGGGUUGCAAACGAAUCGAGCCGCUCGCGAGUCGAGUUCGAUAUUAAUCGAGCUCGAACUCGAGCUCAGAAUAUUAAGCUCGUUAGCUCGCGAGCUUGAGUAUAUAUAUAUAUAUAUUUUUUUUUAUUUUUAUUUAAUAAUAAAAUUACGUAUAUUAUAUAUAUAUAUAUUUUUAUUUUUUAUUUUCAUAGUGAAAUUACGGAUAUAUUCUUAAUAUUUUAUUAUUUAUUCAGAAAAAAUAUUAUUUUAUUUAUUUUUUUUAAAAUAAAAUAAUUUUUUAUAUUUUUUUCGAGCUCGAGCUCGAGCUCGGCUCGACUUGAUUCGAGUCGAGCUUGAGCUCGAAAAUUGCCAGCUCGUCGAGCUCGAGCUCGAGUUUGGUAAAAUUUAGUCGAGACUCGGCUCGAUUAGCUCAAAACUCGACUCGGUUCGGCUCGUUUGCAGCCCUACCACCAACAACCGUAAAUAAACGCGCACACAUACACUAUCUAAGGGAAACGUACAACUCAACUCAAAAGGCAUGUUGACUUUCAGGCCACACUGAGAACCUUAAGUAGUACAUACACACACCACUCACAAUCGAUGUGGAAUAGAGGAAAAGGAGGAGGAGAAACACCACGACUAUUGCCCAAAGGCUCACUUCAAAAUGUGUUUUUGUACCAUUCUUGAUGUCUGUGUUGAAUUUCAAAAUUCAGAAUGACAAGUUUUUCCCACCUGAAAUCCCUGCCACAAAAUGUGUUUUUCUACUUUUUCCUGAUGCCUAAGUUGAAUUUCAAAAUUCAGGAUGACAAAAAAUUUGUUUUUUUUUUGAUGUCGUAAAAUUGGUUGAAAUUAAGGCCAAGCCUGUUACUGAUUGCUGUUUUGAGGAUACAGUCUAGCUAUUAAUGGUUACAAUUUACAUCUACUAAUCAUUUUCCGAUAACUGGUUUACAUUUUGCCUUACGUUUAUAUAUUUUAUUUCUUCGUUAGUACGUAUUAUUUAGAAGUUCAAAACAUCUACAGUAAAGCUACUUGUAGUGCUUGAUUGUCAUCAUUGUCCAUUACAUUUCCAAUUUUCUUCUAAUUUGACAUUUCGAACAUUCGGCCAAAAAAAAAAAAAAAAAUCACCCUUGAUGUUCUAAUCACUUAUGUCUAUUGUCUAAUUUUUAUUAACAUAUUAAACAACCGUUCUUUUUUUUUUUUUUAAUAAAGAAGAUCAACAGUCCAGCAACAAGGCGUCAAGAUAGAAGAUGGCAACGAUACGAGGUCCGGCGAACUUUGCAACUUUAUAAGACUAGUACAAUAGAGACCUUUUGCUGUUGUUUCAUUGUGAUUCUUUUGCUGAGUUAAUUUGAUGUUUUAGUUUCCUUAACCAAGAUGGCAUGCCAGUAAUUGAUUUGACUUGACAUUCAAUAAAAGGGGUUGGCUGAUCUCAAAAGCUUCAAGGCUUAGAAAGUUUACUUUUAGUUUCAAAGGAUGGAGGACCACCUCAAUAAUCACGAUGCUUCUUCUUCUUUUUCUUUUUUUUUUUUUUUUUUAUAAAUAUAUGUACGUAUAUAAAGUUUUAGCCUCCCAAAAUAAAGAGAAAAGGAUCCCGGCAUACUUUCUUUUUGUUACCUGGAGCCUGGAGGAUAUGCCUGCAGUAGCAUUUCGGCUAUGCAAAAAAGUCAAUGACAAUUCAAGAAAAAAAAAAAGUGCAAUUGCGAAUAUAGGAAUGAUGCAGAUAAUUGAACAUAUGGCAUUUGUUCUAUUCCAGGAUGACAAAGAUCUUUAGGUCCCAAGAAUUUAGAAAUUACACUUCAUUUCCUUAAAGUAUUAAAGAGUUUUAUUUACUAUAUAUUUGUAAAAAAAAAAAAAAAAAAAAGAUUUUGUGCCUGAAAAGCAUCCUAAUUAUCAGAGUUGAAGGAUGGAGUCCUAAUAAACUAAUUAUUAUUAUUAUUAUUAAAAUCAAGAGUAAAGUUAUAAACACGGUAGAGAAGAGAGUUGCAGGUUUUAGACUCGUGGUGGUCAAGAUGAGAAAGAAAUGCAAAAAGGAACGCGCUGUGCCGUCAAAAUUCAAAAUUAAAAGAAAGGACAAAUGAUCGAGUUUGAAGUACAAAAGCCAAAGUCUACUGUAGCGUAGUUUCUUAUUAUUAUUUUUUUUUUAUAAUAAAAAUAAGAAACAAAAACGUACGAGUGCUUUAUAGUAAUAAUAUUGCAAAACGCAGUACUGUAAAAAGUUUCCUGAUUUCACUUCAGAAAGGGUGCACGUUCUCCGACGUGUCUCAGAAAAUUUUUUUUUUUUUUUUUGGUUGUUGUUGUUGUUAGCAACUUAGCAUCAACUAGUUUCCAUGCUGCUACUAUCAUACAAUGUUUGCUUUCCAUAUUUAUCAUGAAGAAAUACGUAGCAAGUAAGAAAAUCACCGGCGACUCUCUCUAUGGAACACAAGAAAAAAAAAGCAAUUUCUCAUACUUUCUCUUCUCUUAUCUCCAUUUCCUACCACCCAAACGCUCCGAGGCCUAUGGUAAAAUAAAACCAAAAAGAGUAUAAUAAACUAGAGAGCGAAAUCAUCAUCAUUUAGUAUAGGACUCUAUGCCAUGGUAACACCCACAAAGCCGGCACAAGACUUCUCUCAACAUCCACAUAAUUAAUUGCAUUGACUUGGAACGCAAUUGCUUUACCCUUUUUUUCUUUCUUCCUUCUCUCUUUAAAAGAAUUUGUCAUAUAUAUAUCAAACUUGUUAUCAUGCUGGACAGAAAUGAUGGCCUAGCCAAGUUGGAUUUCUAGUGCAGCAAGGCACUCGUUCUCUUUAUUCAAAACUCAAAAUAGGAGGAGAGAGUAUCGCAGGGAACCCUUUUCCUUUUAACUCUCCCAGGAGAGUAUCAUAUGGAAUGGAACGCCGAUCUUCGACUGAAGGCCAAUUCAUUCCAAAAAAAAAAAAAAAAAAAAAUUUUUUUUUCCCUUAAAAAAAAAAAUAUUUAAUAAAAGCUUUUGGGGUGGGUAGGAGAUGAUAGGUUGGUCUCAAUCGAUGAGAGGGGUCGAUCACAUUAACCACCACGCCACACCAGCUGAACAAUUUCUGAGCAGAACACAUGCAUUCAAUGCAUGGACAGGCGGGGCGUCUGGCAGUUGACCAGGGAUGCUGCAGCAGCAGCUUGCAAUGCAAUGCACGACUCCUUCAGUCGCCAUGCCAUGUACGGGACACGGGACAUGACGAUGCCGAAGCCCUUACCUGCGCGAGGCAAUUCAAAUUUCAAGUUUGAUGAUGAUGAUUAAUUUCCCAUGGACAAGUUUGAUUUUUUUGCUUCUACAAUGACAGAUCGCAGAUUUUAUUUAAUGUUUUGCUUUUCCAUCCUGUCCGUACUUUACUCUCUGCCCCUAUCACACUCAUUUUAACGCCGAGGAAGAUUACUUACGCAUGAUUAUAUUAGGAACCAAGAGGAAGAAGAG